rnacentral:rRNA from 1 species
UACGGGGGGGGCAAGCGUUGUUCGGAAUUACUGGGCGUAAAGGGUUCGUAGGUGGCUUGCUAAGUCAGACGUGAAAUCCCUCAGCUUAACUGGGGAACUGCGUCUGAUACUGGCGAGCUUGAGUGCAGGAGAGGAACGCAGAAUUCUAGGUGUAGCGGUGAAAUGCGUAGAUAUCUGGAGGAAUACCGGUGGCGAAGGCGGCGUUCUGGACUGCAACUGACACUGAUGAACGAAAGCCAGGGGAGCAAACGGG